UUCAGGGUUCACCCCAGAAUACACAUUUACCGACAUUUGUGUGCUAAAGUGUGUAUGUGGGAGGUAACUCAGUACUGGCCCCUAGUGGUGAAAAGUGAUACUGCAGCCAUACACACUUGUACACACACUUGAUUGAAAUAUGCUAUGCAACAGCCCUCUGAGAUUAAGCUAGCUUCUUUAACUUAAGAUGACUAUUCAUUCCACUUGAAUGAAAGGAUAUAGUAGAAGUUUUAAGUUAUAGAUCAUGGGACAAGGUAAGGUAGAGCCAUAUUCAUCUGUUGCUCGUGACUAACAGAUUUAUGACAAAGAAGUCAGCAACAUAAUGAUAAAAACUGAAAAAAUGCUUUUAGAUCUUGCUUAUUUAUUUAUUUAUUUAUUUCCCAAGGUAGCCUUUUUGAAUCAAUGGUAAACUGAUUUGAUUUAGCGUCAAAAGUUAGUUGUCCAGGUUUGAAGCAUCAUGGUUAUAUAUAGCUUGUGAAUGUGAACCUUUAGAUUAUAGAAAUGCUCCAAGGGAUUUCUCAAAACAUUAGUCCCUGGCACCUAAUAUUAAGUGAUUUGUGAGCACAAGCCUUCUUGUGGCUACUGCUUUUCUGAAGUCAUCCACCAGAAUAUGGUGAAUAUGGUAAAAAAAAACACUUUGGAGCAUUUAAAAGAAGAGGCUGUAACAAUAAAGUCAAUCACAUCAGAAGACAACCAUAUGUAAAAUAUUCUGCAUUAGUUUUAAUUAUGAAUUAAUUUAGAUUUUUUAUAUUGACCAGUUAUUUGAAAUGUUAAGUUAAACCACAAUUUUUCAUGAUGCUAUUUUUGUGAUCAGACAAAAUUGAACUGCAAAUGUAUGACAAAUUUAAUAAAGAUUUUAUAUUACCUCGCCUUAACUUAAAGUCUGGUUUUAGAUUUAAACAGUAAACGUUGUUUAGCCUCUGGCUCACCUAUUGGUGUCAUGAGUUUGGCAGCUGCCACUUUGUCUAGGGGGUUAGCCAUAUAUUCAGACUUACCAAAACAAGUAAUAAAAAAAGGUGAGACAAACCCAUAUCUGAGAUGGACAUUUACACAUAUAAAGAGAUUUGGUUGGUCUGGUAAACUGAUGUUAAUGCUCUCGCACAUCAUGAGUUAAAAACUUACAGCUCUUUGACUCUUAGAAACAUUUGCUCAAUAACAUGAUUUUGUACUGAGAAUGACUUUUAGAAAUGUAAUUUAUGGCAUUACAAUAGACAAAAACUGAAUAAAUUAUAUUGGUCCAUUGUAAAUAAAGACCUGAUUUUUUUAUAUUCAUCAGAUAUUUGUAAUGCAAAACAAUCUGUAAAAAAGCUAGCAGUGUAAAUAGCCAGAUAGCUGACUUGUCAGCUAAUGUUAGCUGCUUCAGAAUGUAGCAGGAACAACAGGCUGUUGCUUCUUGCUAUCCUCUCCUCUCCUAAACACAUAAUUGUAGUGUUUUUGCUGCUGGGUGAACAAUCUGUAAAACUGUUAGCAGUGUACAUAGCCAGGUAGCUGACUUGUCAGCUAAUGUUAGCUGCUUCAGAAUGCAGCAGGAACAACAGGCUGCUGGUCCUGGCUAUCCUUUCCUCUCCUCAACACACAACUGUAGUGUUUUUGAUGUUGGGUGAACAAUCUGUAAAACUGUUAGCAGUGUACAUAGCCAGGUAGCUGACUUGUCAGCUAAUGUUAGCUACUUCACAAUGAAGCAGGAACAACAGUCUGCUGCUCCUGGCUAUCCUCUCCUCUCCUCAACACACAACUGUAGUACUUUUGCUGUUGGGUGAACAAUCUGUAAAACUGUUAGCAGUGUACAUAGCCAGGUAGCUGACUUGUCAGCUAAUGUUAGCUGCUACAGAAGGUAGCAGAAACAACAGUCUGCUGCUCCUGGCUAUCCUCUCCUCUCCUCAACACACAUUGUAAUGUUUUUGCUGCUGGGUGAACAAUCUGUAAAAAAGUUAGCAGUGUCCAUAAGCAGGUAGCCAAAGUGUCGGCUAAUGUUAGCUGCCACAGAAGAUAGCAGGAACAAAAGGCUGCUGCUCCUGGCUAUCAUUUCCUCUCCUCAGUACACAACAACUGUAGUGAUUUGCUGCUGGGUGAACCAUCUGUAAAACUGUUAGCAGUGUACAUAGCCAGGUAGCUGACUUGUCAGCUAAUGUUAGCUACUUCACAAUGAAGCAGG
rnacentral:lncRNA from 1 species